UGUCGGCCAUCUUGUGUUGUUGAGGCUGAGGACUGACUGGGGUUCUGAGACUCCCUGUCCCGGACCGCAGGUUUCUUCACAUAUAAAAAUCUAUUGUAAAAAUACGGAAAAGAAUGGCAGCGGAAACGCAGACACUGAACUUUGGGCCUGAAUGGUGAGUUUUCAAAAUCUCAUCUUCUUUGAUAUUGGAUGACUAAUACAGUAGUAAAGUAUUUGACAGGUGCUAGGUGGUUUAUAAAUGUGCAUGUUUUUGAAACUUUUGCUUUAUGUGCCUCGCUGAAAACAAUGUGUUAGUUCAGGAAUAAAUUAUAUUUGGUAAAUGAGUGUAUUCUAUACUUAAUUAAAAUUUUUUUUCUUUGUCUGGUUA
rnacentral:sRNA from 1 species